UUCCGAUUUUUUUUUUCGGACUCCAUCUCUCUCCCGAGAAAUCCCCAAUCUGAGAAAUCCCUAACUCCGCCGCCAGCGCGCGACUCCGCGGCAUCGCCAUCCUGCGCGCGAGGCUGCCGCCGCCGCCACUCCACCGCCGCCGGCCAACUCCUCCACGCAACUCCCCCACGCCAGACCCCAACGCCGACCAACUCCUCCACCCACCUCCCUGCCUAAUCCUCCUCUUCCCCCACCGUCUCCGUCGUCCAUCGCCGCCUCCACCGUCCAUCGCCGCCUCCGCCGUCGCCCCUUUGGACCUCCUCUUCCCCCACUCAGCUCAUCCCCACCUCAGCCAUCAUCCACCAGGCCGAGGCAUACUCCAUCUCCAGGCCUUCCUCUACCCUCCUCGGCUUCAUUGGUUGUUCCCACCCAGCCAUAUCCGUUCACUGAUUUUUUUUUUUUUUUGUUCAGAGAGUGAUUUGGUCAUCCAGAUCAUAAGCAAGACUCCGGAAGAAUGGAAGUUGUGUGCGGAACUGCGUUGGUGUAAUGAAGAGUGGAUAAAAAAGUCAUGCGAAGGUAGGGUAUACAGGGAAAUGAUGGAUGGGCCAGCACACCGUCAAGGCAGCGCUUCACUUGACCGAUUCCAAAAGAACAUGGAGAAGAAGGAGAAGAGGCCAAUGGGUAUAUUUGAGGCUUAUGCAGAAGCAAGGAAGAGUGGAAAAGAUGGAGAGGACUAUUGUACUGACCGUGUCAAGGAUAAGCUUGAAGCUUAUUUUGGAGUUGUUAAGGAAAAGCAUGGUGCAAGUCCUGAUUUGAUGAAAUAACCCAUUGAUG